rnacentral:rRNA from 1 species
ACGCUCGACACCUACGGGAGGCAGCAGUGGGGAAUAUUGCACAAUGGGGGAAACCCUGAUGCAGCGACGCCGCGUGGAGGAAGAAGGUCUUCGGAUUGUAAACUCCUGUUGUUGAGGACGAUAAUGACGGUACUCAACAAGGAAGUGACGGCUAACUACGUGCUAGCAGCCGCGGUAAUCUGAGCGGGCUGGCAAGGC